GUACACGCUGUGACUAGCAUAUCAAUAAGCGGAGGAAAAGAAACUAACAAGGAUUCCCUUAGUAACGGCGAGUGAAGCGGGAAGAGCUCAAAUUUGAAAUCUUGCAAGGUUUACCUUGACGAAUUGUAGUUUAAAGAAGUGUUUUCUGUUACGAUCGUAAUAUAAGUUCUUUGGAAUAGGACAUCACAGAGGGUGAGAAUCCCGUCUAUGAUUGCGAUUUGUAGCUUUGUGAUACACUUUCAAAGAGUCGGGUUGUUUGGGAAUGCAGCCCAAAACGGGAGGUAAAUUUCUUCUAAGGCUAAAUAUUGGCGAGAGACCGAUAGCGAACAAGUACCGUGAGGGAAAGAUGAAAAGAACUUUGAAAAGAGAGUUAAAUAGUACGUGAAAUUGUCAAAAGGGAAGCGUUUAACACCAGUGUUGUUUUCUGAAAAUCAACCUCUGUUAGCUUUAUGCAUGUUUGUUUAGACCUAAUCAGCUAUCUUUCAUGUUCUAUUGUUUGCAGUGGUGCACUUUUCAGUUUACAGGUCAACAUCAGUUUUUUUUACCGUAAAAAAGUUAAAGAAAGGUAGCUCAUGGCUCCGGUCGUGAGUGUUAUAGUCUUUUUCCUAUGCGGUAGGAGAGACUGAGGUCUGCAGUGUAGGCUAUUUGGCUAGAUACUCAGGUGCUAUGUGAUACCAUUUCAUAAACAACUUGUUGAUUAUGUUUUGUCUAUUGCAUACUCGCUUGUACUAUCAUACCUACGCUUAGGAUGUUGAGUAGCGACAUACGCAC
rnacentral:rRNA from 1 species